rnacentral:misc_RNA from 1 species
UCCACAUGAUAAAUAGGUAUAUAUUAAGUUCAAAGAACUCUGCAGCAUAUGUUUUCAAUAGCAAUAGCUUACACACGAGAUAUAAUAGCAGAUCAUACACAUCCACAAUCUAUAUAGCAGAAAUAGUAGUAGUAACAUCUUCGCCACAAGUAGAUAUUUUAUAUCAAGGAACAGGAGCACACACCACUCUCAAAACUCAAAAGAUAUUAACAGCAUUCCUGAUUCCUCCCAAGCAAUACUUCAGCAAAUGCUAUGUAGGCAUAUAGCUGCUAUAAAUUGCAACACUAGCAGGUAUAUUCAGUGUGGGGUGAUCCUCCAUCUCUGGUUAUCUCCUUUGUUCCACUUCCAGAGCACAAUAGUGGUACCAUUAUGGACACCACCAGAUUUCUUAUCACCAUGGAAAGCAUCUACAUUCAGGUGAAUGUUGUUAACCAUCCUCACAGUUCUGUAACCAUCACCUAAAUCCUUGCUCUCAGUCCACAGAAUAGACUCAUCAAGAACAUCUGGAUUAUAAGGUAUCAGCUGCACAGGGUGUGUGGCUCCAAUGGAAUGCUUCAUGGCCUCACCAGUGGCUUUGUUAACCAAAGCAAAGCAAGGACAGCCGUCCUCGUCCUUUACUCUUGUGCUAUACUUCUCAUCCUUGUACCAGUUCUACAAAACAGCCAACACCAAAUCAACUACAAAUACAAGAAAGAAACAAUAAACUCGGGGAAAAAAAAAAAGAAUACAACAGGCAGAUCAAAUCAAUUAGUCAGAAAUGAUUAGGAAAAAAAAAGAUCAUAUAACUACAAAAUCUUUGAAUUACAGAAGCUGGGAUCUGAUCAGAUAAUCAUGAGAAAACAACAUAAAGGGGGAAAAAAUCCAAUAGUAUAAACCAACAUAAGUUGCUAAAGCCCAAAAGGGAAAAUAAAAUCAACAACACAAGCUAACAAAAAGAUAACAGAAAGGUCAAGCUGAGGUCACUAUUCAAAAUUUCCUACUUGGAACUCAUCAGAUGGAUCCGAUGGUGCUAGAAUCACUUUGCCGUCCCUG